UUUUACAACAAAAGAGAUGAAAUGAACCAUAAUCCUCGCAAAAUAAAGAAACCAAUUAAACCUCUAUGCUUUACCUAGAAGAUUCAAUAAGCAUAAAAAUAUUGAACUACGUGACCACCUCUAAGAGUUUAAACUAAAGAGAGAGAACACUAUUAUUAUUUAUCAUAGGUCUACAAAUACUUCUUCUCACGUGUUGGCAUGAUUCAUCUUUUUGGGCCAAG
rnacentral:misc_RNA from 1 species